rnacentral:rRNA from 1 species
CCUACGGGGGGCAGCAGUGGGGAAUAUUGGACAAUGGGCGAAAGCCUGAUCCAGCCAUGCCGCGUGUGUGAAGAAGGCCUUCGGGUUGUAAAGCACUUUCAGUGGGGAAGAAAGCCUUGGGGCUAAUACCCUCGAGGAAGGACAUCACCCACAGAAGAAGCACCGGCUAACUCCGUGCCAGCAGCCGCGGUAAUACGGAGGGUGCGAGCGUUAAUCGGAAUUACUGGGCGUAAAGCGCGCGUAGGCGGUCUGAUAAGCCGGUUGUGAAAGCCCCGGGCUCAACCUGGGAACGGCAUCCGGAACUAUCAGGCUAGAGUGCAGGAGAGGAAGGUAGAAGUCCCGGUGUAGCGGUGAAAUGCGUAGAGAUCGGGAGGAAUACCAGUGGCGAAGGCGGCCUUCUGGACUGACACUGACGCUGAGGUGCGAAAGCGUGGGUAGCAAACAGGAUUAGAUACCCCGGUAGUC